AGUGAACGCUGGCGGUAGGCCUAACACAUGCAAGUCGAACGGCAGCACAGUAAGAGCUUGCUCUUACGGGUGGCGAGUGGCGGACGGGUGAGGAAUACAUCGGAAUCUACUUUUUCGUGGGGGGUAACGUAGGGAAACUUACGCUAAUACCGCAUACGACCUACGGGUGAAAGCAGGGGAUCUUCGGACCUUGCGCGAUUGAAUGAGCCGCUGUCGGAGUAGCUAGUUGGCGGGGUAAAGGCCCACCAAGGCGACGAUCCGUAGCUGGUCUGAGAGGAUGAUCAGCCACACUGGAACUGAGACACGGUCCAGACUCCUACGGGAGGCAGCAGUGGGGAAUAUUGGACAAUGGGCGCAAGCCUGAUCCAGCCAUACCGCGUGGGUGAAGAAGGCCUUCGGGUUGUAAAGCCCUUUUGUUGGGAAAGAAAAGCAGCAGGUUAAUACCCCGCUGUUCUGACGGUACCCAAAGAAUAAGCACCGGCUAACUUCGUG
rnacentral:rRNA from 1 species